GCUUCAAAGAAAUGCAAUGGAAGCAGAAAAUUCUGAGAUCAACUCAUCUAAUGGAUCACACACACUCCCUGAUAAUUUAGAAUUAAGGGUCAAAGCUACUAACGGAAAAAACAAAGGUCGUGUGCUUGGAACCAGAGCAAGUGAUCCAAUGCCAUUACCAAUUCCUGAUAAUAUGGCGACUUCAUAGAACACAACGACGAAUUAUAUAGAAAUUCAACAACAAAAAAGUAAAGAAGACUUUGAUCGGGCAGUUCAAGAGGCCAUUAGAAAACAGAUGCCGGAUAUACUAAAGGAACUAAGGGAAGACUUACGUCGAGAGACGAUUGAGGNNN
rnacentral:lncRNA from 1 species